rnacentral:lncRNA from 1 species
UAAUAAUUGUAAACCUUAUUCUUAUUACAUUAAUAAUCCAUAGAAGUGUCACCAAGAUUGAGUGAAAAUAUAUGGGUUUAAUUCCUGGUAUUGGUGUUAUCUUGCUCUGUAAUUUGGAUUAAGUCUUCAAAUCCAUUCCAUGAUUGCAUCUAACUUUUCUUCAGCUCAGACUUGGACGGUUGAAUCCAGUUUUAUGCCUACAGCAGCAUCUAAGCUGACAUCUUUGCAGGUAGAGAUGGAAGGUCAGAGAAGGAAGAGUUCAAGGUACAUUCCUUCUUCCAGUGUACCUUGGACUCGGCCCUGGUCGGUUUUAGGUAGGGAAAAGAAGAGAGAAAAGGGUCCAUGUUUUUACUGGACCCAAAGCCCGAUGGUAACUGUGGGGGGGAAUAACCCACCCCCCCCUUUGACAGUAAUAAAAUAUUC